GAGGCCGACCGUCUGCUGCAGAGAGAGUCCACCAGGAGAGCUCAGAGGUUCCCAGUGGUCAGUCUGCCCAGCAGCAUCAAACACACCUGGACUCCAUAUUUAUGCUGCUGGAGGACAACAUUGUCACUUUUGUGAAGAACGAGCUGAAGAAGAUCCAGAAGGGUCUGAGUUCAGAUUACCCAGAAUGCUUAGAGAGUCAGAGGGAGGAUGAGGAGGUGUUGG